CUCAUUGGCUACAGCCGUCUCUCUAAAGAGGGGUUCAACUUGAACCACAGAUCCUUUCAAAAUCAAAACCACCAGGUUGGCUGGUACCUUAUCACCUCCUUACGCCCCUUCAAAUCAAUUGCACUAAGUGGAGGACAGGUGUGUUGCAUCAAUGCUUUAUCAGCAGGGGACAAGGUCACCACGUCAGCCAAUCACAGAUGGACCUUACCUUCUGUGAGCUGGACGAGGCACUGCGCUUAAUGGAAGAGCGCUUGGUGGAGCCACUUUUCUUCAUUCCACCCAGACCCCUGCCCUCCAUUCCCCCGGGUACUGCGAUGUUCUUCC